rnacentral:tRNA from 1 species
GGUAGCGUGGCCGAGCGGUCUAAGGCGCCAGUCUCUUCGGGGGCGUGGGUUCGAAUCCCACCGCUGCAU